AAUAACCUGAAUGUAUAUAGAAGGAAAACGAAACCCAGCAGGUGUCUCUGCUAUGGGAUGGGGUCUUGGUGAGGAAGAGAAGCCUGUAAGUGUUGAACGACAAGAAGAGGGAUUCAGGAGGACUGUGGCUGAGAUCUUGGCUAUCACAGGUGUUGCUGUAAUGAGCACUCUUGAACAUCACCCUCAGAUCGGAUCAGAGAAGUGAUGGUGUCGCUGUGUGGGGACCCCAACCGUGCCAAAGCGGCAGCUACUCAUGGACACCAGCACUAGAAGUCUCGGUGUCUACCUCUGCUAGACCCCACCAAAGAUGGGAUUGAGAGCGGCCCAGAAGAGUUCCAGGAGCAGCAGCUGCUCAUA